rfam:Brachypodium distachyon strain Bd21 chromosome 3, whole genome shotgun sequence.
CUUGUACUCCCUCCGUCCAAAAAAGGAUGUCUUAAGUUUGUCAAAAUUUGAAUGCAUCUAUACAUUAAGUCAUGUCUAGAUACAUCCAAAAUUUGACAAACUUGAGACAUCUUUUUUGGACGUAGGAAGUACAUA